AAACAUUGAUCACUUUUUGUAAAGCUAGAGUGUUUGAAUUUUCUAUAUAUAGUUUUUCAAAGUCAAACAGUUUUAUUGGCUAUUAGAUGAAUAGCAAGUAAGGUAUGAAAAUCAUUUUAUUUAUAUAGCCUCAUGAAGCAGUUAUUGUCUGAUGUCUGUUACUGAUAUAUCUCAAUUUUUUAAAUUAAUUUCACUGCACAGUGGACUUAUCUUGUAGUCCUGACAAUUGACUAAGUUCUCACUAUUCAUGUGUCUGCUCCAGAAUUCCUAACAUCAGUAGCCUUGCCUAGUCGAGGACAAGGCUCAUGGAAGUGUUUUCCCUAAAAACUCUUGUCCCUUCAAUCUAAGUGGAGGAAGUGUCUUUGUUUCCUUUUCAUUGGUUUAAGUUUUAAAGAAUUGUCCAAAAUAUCCCAUGGAAACUUUAUCCUUCAAUUCAUCCUAGUUCCUCUGGGCCAAUAGUCUUUAGUUAGGAAAAAUAGAAAAUUUUCCUCUUAAAAAUUCUUUGAAUUUGGUAUUCCACAGGGAGACAGUUUGGUGACAGAGGGUUCCCAAGAUGCAUCUGUGCAGUGCUUUCUAAACCUUUUCCACGAACUGCACCUAACUCAGAGAAUGAACAUGUAUGCCUGGAAAGAUCUGGAAAUAUGCCUACCAGACAAGAGUUCUUUCGAAGUCUUAUAAGUUUUACAUUAAAAUUCAUGUAAAUGCUGCAUUUUACUCUG
rnacentral:lncRNA from 1 species